rnacentral:rRNA from 1 species
ACGCUGGCGGCGUGCCUAAUACAUGCAAGUCGAACGCACAGCGAAAGGUGCUUGCACCUUUCAAGUGAGUGGCGAACGGGUGAGUAACACGUGGACAACCUGCCUCAAGGCUGGGGAUAACAUUUGGAAACAGAUGCUAAUACCGAAUAAAACUUAGUGUCGCAUGACACAAAGUUAAAAGGCGCUUCGGCGUCACCUAGAGAUGGAUCCGCGGUGCAUUAGUUAGUUGGUGGGGUAAAGGCCUACCAAGACAAUGAUGCAUAGCCGAGUUGAGAGACUGAUCGGCCACAUUGGGACUGAGACACGGCCCAAACUCCUACGGGAGGCUGCAGUAGGGAAUCUUCCACAAUGGGCGAGAGCCUGAUGGAGCAACGCCGCGUGUGUGAUGAAGGCUUUCGGGUCGUAAAGCACUGUUGUAUGGGAAGAACAGCUAGAAUAGGAAAUGAUUUUAGUUUGACGGUACCAUACCAGAAAGGGACGGCUAAAUACGUGCCAGCAGCCGCGGUAAUACGUAUGUCCCGAGCGUUAUCCGGAUUUAUUGGGCGUAAAGCGAGCGCAGACGGUUUAUUAAGUCUGAUGUGAAAGCCCGGAGCUCAACUCCGGAAUGGCAUUGGAAACUGGUUAACUUGAGUGCAGUAGAGGUAAGUGGAACUCCAUGUGUAGCGGUGGAAUGCGUAGAUAUAUGGAAGAACACCAGUGGCGAAGGCGGCUUACUGGACUGCAACUGACGUUGGGGCUCGAAAGUGUGGGUAGCAAAC